rnacentral:misc_RNA from 1 species
UUUUUAUUAGUUUGCGACUUCUAGACUUUCGCCAUAGAAGCUUAAUCGCGGCUUUAGUUCAGUUUGUUUAAAGUUUUUUAUACGCCUGUGACAGCGGUAUAAAAAUAAGGGUGGGUAGUUGACUACACGACAGCGAUGCAAGCAAAGACUGAAGUAAGCCAGGUCUACCAGAAAGUUCCGCGGGUCAACAUCAGGCCUGUAGACCGAAGUCAAACAGAGCCUUCUGUUUUGUUUUUGGGUGUGGUAAUGAUCCUUCCGCAGGUUCACCUACGGAAA